AAGUAAAUUUGCUUUUCUAUUAGCUAAUAUAACAUAAAUAAAUAUUUCAUCUUUAUUUUUUAACAUGAUCAUUUAAAAUGCACCAGAAGAAAGUUAUUAAAAAAAUUCUUACAUUCAUGCACAAAUAUCUUUCCAAAAGUAGGCGUAAAGACCGGUUUUAGUAAUAAGGUUUAGUGAUUUAAAAUGAAGAGGUAAUCUAUUCCAUGAUUUUAUGCAUUGGUUUGUGAAUUAUUAUUUACAUACAUAACUAAGUAAUGAUUGAGGAUAUAUAUUUUAAGGUUACUAAACAACGGAAGAUAAUAACAAGAACUUUUUAUAUCAGUAAAGAAAUAAUAGAUUGAGGAAGGGAGGUUAACUUGUGCCUGAUUCCAGACAAAUAGACAAUUUAAUAGAUGAAUAAGAGCACACAAUUUGAUGAUUUUGGAUAGAAGAAAAGUAUAUUGCUGAUUUAAUAGUUUUAUUGUUCUAAUUGGUCAUAUGGUUCAUUGUUAUCAAAGUUACACAUGUUAGAAGAUCGUGUUAUUCGAUUUAUAAAAAAAUAGUUUUCUUAAAUCACACAAUCAAAAACUAACCCUAUAAACAGAAAGCUUAAACCAACCUUGAGAAAAAGAAUAUAUUGCAAUAAAAAUUU